UACGUAGGGUGCAAGCGUUAAUCGGAAUUACUGGGCGUAAAGCGUGCGCAGGCGGUUUGCUAAGACAGGUGUGAAAUCCCCGGGCUUAACCUGGGAACUGCGCUUGUUACUGGCAGGCUUGAGUGUGGCAGAGGGGGGUGGAAUUCCACGUGUAGCAGUGAAAUGCGUAGAGAUGUGGAGGAACACCGAUGGCGAAGGCAGCCCCCUGGGCUAACACUGACGCUCAUGCACGAAAGCGCGGGGAGCAAACAGG
rnacentral:rRNA from 1 species